rnacentral:rRNA from 1 species
UGAAUACGAGAUACUACGGUGUCGAAGCAGUCUAUGUCAUACUUCCAAGAAAAGCUUGCACUGUCAUAAACAAAUAAUGCCUGUACCAUAACCGACACAGGUGGGUAGGUAGAGUAUACUAAGGGGCGCGAGAUAACUCUCUCUAAGGAACUCGGCAAAAUGACUCCGUAACUUCGGGAGAAGGAGUGCCUUAUAUUUAUAAGGUUGCAAUAACAAGAUCCAAGCAACUGUUUAUCAAAAACACAGGUCUCCGCUAAGUCGUAAGACGAUGUAUGGGGGCUGACGCCUGCCCAGUGCCAGAAGGUUAAAGAAGUUGGUUAGCUUUUGCGAAGCUGAUAACUGAAGCCCUGGUGAACGGCGGCCGUAACAAUAACGGUCCUAAGGUAGCGAAAUUCCUUGUCGGGUAAGUUCCGACCCGCACGAAAGGCGUAAUGAUUUGGAUACUGUCUCGGAGAGGGACUCGGUGAAAUAGACUUGUCUGUGAAGAUGCGGACUACUUGCACCAGGACAGAAAGACCCUAUGAAGCUUUACUGUAACCUGAAAUUGAAAUUGGACUUUACUUGCGCAGGAUAGGUGGGAGGCUUUGAGAAUAUUCUUGCGGGAAUAUUGGAGCCAUCAGUGAGAUACCACUCUGGUAAUGUUAGAUUUCUAACUUUGUAUCAUUAUCUGGUCAAAGAACAGUUUCAGGCGGGCAGUUUGACUGGGGCGGUCGCCUCCUAAACGGUAACGGAGGCGCACAAAGGUUUCCUCUGAACGGGUAGAAAUCGUAUCUAGAGUGUAAAGGCAUAAGGAAGCUUGACUGUGAGACCUACAAGUCGAGCAGGGACGAAAGUCGGUCUUAGUGAUCUGACGGUGCUGAGUGGAAAGGCCGUCACUCAACGGGUAUAAGUUACUCUAGGGAUAACAGGCUGAUCUCCCCCAAGAGUUCACAUCGACGGGGAGGUUUGGCACCUCGAUGUCGGCUCAUCGCAUCCUGGGGCGGUAGUACGUCCCAAGGGUUGGGCUGUUCGCCCAUGAAAGCGGUACGCGAGCUGGGUUCAGAACGUCGUGAGACAGUUCGGUCCAUAUCCGGUGUAAGCGUUAGAAUAUUGAGAGGAGCCUUCUUUAGUACGAGAGGACCGAGAAGGAUGCACCGCUGGUGUACCAGUUAUUGUGCCAACAGUAAACGCUGGGUAGCUAUGUGUGGAGUGGAUAACCGCUGAAAGCAUCUAAGUGGGAAGCCCACCUC